GGGUCCUUAGGUUGGUCGUGCCACCGGUACGUACUGGUCUCACUGAUUCCUCCUUCCUGAAGAACCGUAAUGCCAUUAAUUUGGUGUUGCGGGGAAACAGGACUGUUACUAUGAAAAAAUUAGAGUGUUUAAAGCAAGCUAACGCUUGAAUACAUUAGCAUGGAAUAAUGAAAUAGGACGAUCGAUCCUAUUUUGUUGGUUUCUAGGAUUGACGUA
rnacentral:rRNA from 1 species